rnacentral:rRNA from 1 species
GAUGAACGCUGGCGGCGUGCUUAGCACAUGCAAGUCGAACGAAGCAUUUACGACAGAUUUCUUCGGAUUGAAGUUGUUUAUGACUGAGUGGCGGACGGGUGAGUAACGCGUGGGUAACCUGCCUUGUACUGGGGGAUAGCAGCUGGAAACGGCUGGUAAUACCGCAUAAGCGCACAAUGUUGCAUGACAUGGUGUGAAAAACUCCGGUGGUAUAAGAUGGACCCGCGUCUGAUUAGCUAGUUGGUGAGAUAACAGCCCACCAAGGCGACGAUCAGUAGCCGACCUGAGAGGGUGACCGGCCACAUUGGGACUGAGACACGGCCCAGACUCCUACGGGAGGCAGCAGUGGGGAAUAUUGCACAAUGGAGGAAACUCUGAUGCAGCGACGCCGCGUGAGUGAAGAAGUAAUUCGUUAUGUAAAGCUCUAUCAGCAGGGAAGAUAGUGACGGUACCUGACUAAGAAGCUCCGGCUAAAUACGUGCCAGCAGCCGCGGUAA